rnacentral:misc_RNA from 1 species
UUUCCGUAGGUGAACCUGCGGAAGGAUCAUUAAUGAGUUGUCAUGGGGUUCGAUGCUGGCAGCCAAUUUUUGGAUGCAUGUGCUUGCCCUAACAAUCAUCUUCCAAACACCUGUGCACAUUUUUGAGGGAGUCUUGAGUUGGUUGCCGCUCUUGGGUGAUUUUCUCACAUUCCCUUAAAUCAUUAUACGCUAUUAACAAUGUUGAACGUGCUCUGUGCCGAAAGGCUAUUAAUAUAAUACAACUUUCAACAACGGAUCUCUUGGCUCUC